UACGUAGGGCGCAAGCGUUGUCCGGAAUUAUUGGGCGUAAAGAGCUCGUAGGCGGCUUGUCGCGUCUGCUGUGAAAUCCCGGGGCUUAACCCCGGGCGUGCAGUGGAUACGGGCAGGCUAGAGGCAGGCAGGGGAGAACGGAAUUCCCGGUGUAGCGGUGAAAUGCGCAGAUAUCGGGAGGAACACCGGUGGCGAAGGCGGUUCUCUGGGCCUGUUCUGACGCUGAGGCACGAAAGCCAGGGGAGCAAACGGG
rnacentral:rRNA from 1 species